AGGUUGUUAGUUUAAGUAAAACUUUUGAUUUCGGCUCAAACGCUUGUGGUUAAAGUCCAUAACUUCCUA
rnacentral:tRNA from 1 species